rnacentral:tRNA from 1 species
GAUCAGGUGGCCGAGUGGUUAAGGCGAUGGACUGCUAAUCCAUUGCUUUCCCCGCGUGAGUUCGAAUCUCAUCCUGAUCG